UUUAAACAACUUAUCAUUUUUUUAUAACAUUUAUUACUUAACUUUUUGAAUAUGCUUAUAAUGAAUGACUUCAUCAGAAUCAAGGUACUUCUCCAGAACAAGAAUUUUGGUGUCUUGGCAGCUCCUUUAGGUCUAUCCAGAAAUUCAUCCCUUUGUCCAAGAGCCAGGGUUUGCUCACUAUGAGUACUACUUUGUAUGCAGUACAGCUCCUGCCAUCCUGGGGAGCACCGCAGGGGCUUCAUACCCCUACGGCCACACUGCUGGUGGGAAGCGUGGCCCCUGGAAAACCCCACAGGAGGAACAAGCCAUCCAUGCUGGCUCCCAGGUCACUGGAUAGCUCCAACAGGGUUCAAAUCUGCCAGACCUGCUCAGUCCUGCUCUAUCCUCUUGUUUGGCAUCACUGUGAGGGUUUUAUGGCUGGGUUUCUACUUCCCUGCCUUCUGUCCAGCACUAAAAUGGCUGCUUGCAACGUGACUUACACGACUGCAGCUGACAAAUGGGGAAGCUGUUAGUCCGGCAAGAUUUAGUCACUGCCUCUUUGACUGGCUGCAUAGUCACUUGUCUGCUGCCAGUGCUGAGUGGUGGAUAUAGAUGCAUAUAGAUGAAUGAUUCCAUAUCUGAGCAAGGGUUUGUAGAGCAUUACUGCACUUCUCAGCUGCAGGAGAAGGGGACCGUCAGACUGCUGGCACAAGCAAGGUGAGAAAGGCACAACAGUUAUUGUAGUUUCUGCUAUAGUUGACUUUCCAUCGAUUUCAGAUGCCCCUGAUUAGCCCCUUCUUUCUCAGCCUGACAUGCCUGUGUUAUGCUUUUCAACUUGGGGGAAGCAAACAAAAGAAGUCUCUUCACAUCCUUCUGGACCUUUGCUGAGAAGAGAUUAAACCGCUAUAUUUGCACAGUAGUGUUCAGCAUGAAUUUCUUAUCUUUCCCUGUGCAGGCAGCACUGGAAAUGUGAGGUUUGAAACCACCUGGUGGUUUUUGUAGCACAGCAGGCAGGUAACAUGCCCUGGUGUGGCCACAUAACAGGACCACUUGCUCAGCCAGACAUCACCAAGCACUGACCCCCUCCAUUAGCAUGAUCCUCCUUGAUCCAUGAGACCUAUUUCCAACCCGCUAAGUGCCUUCAUGUAUCAAUUCUGACUUCCACUUCUCCCCAAACUCCUGGCUGAUUGCAGGUCUUUUAGAACUCAUCACUGCCCCUUCUCUAUCUCCUACAGCUAAGCUUCUUGUUCCAUUGUUUUAUUUACCACUGCACGUGCCAACCCCUCCCUUGCCACGUAUGACUUGUAAACUAUGCCACUGGAGGUAGAGAUGGGGUGCUAUCACGCCCACCUUAAUGUCUAGUUAUAAGGUCCUGCUCCUGUCCCCCAACACCGAUGCUGGGGUCAAGCAGUUACAGGACAGCUAAAGAGUGUUUCCUGCCCUGAACGGCUGUCACUGAAGUCUGUGCAUUGCCACAGACAGCUACUACAGCUACAGAAAACAUCAGGAUCAUUGCCACAAUAAUGCAUGUGAGAGCCUAAGUCCUGCUAUGUCAGAGGACAGGGCUGAUGGACAUAAGGUCUCGGCUGGCACACAAGAAGAGCCAGAAAUCUUUUAUCAGGCCUCCCAGGAACUCGGACUGGGACAAAGCUUGUGUCCUUUGAGCUCACACGAGAAUGAGGUAAGUCUAGACAUUACCACGGUUGCUCAAAUAUCAGCUGCACAGAAGAGAUUGUGUAAUUUUGUGUUUUUGACAAGCAGGGAGCAGCAGAUUGGGACAGCUUCAGCACAGAGCGCUGUACUGGCAGCACCUUUGCUUUUAAGGGCAAAGUCUGAUGGUGAAGAACUGCAUCCCUUUUCUUAGAAAAUGGAUAUGUCGCUCCAUCUUUUGUAACAGAGUUGUGGCCAGACGUGGCAUCGCUUGGCGGAAUGAAGUGCACUUUCUGGAAAUGUCGAUGCACACAUUCUGAAAAACAUUCUGUAAGUUUUUUAGGGAAAAAAAAAAGUGACAAAUGGUAAUUAACUGAGAGUGGGUGGAUCUGAGGGGGUGAAUGAAAGGUCUGGCAGAAGAUCACAGCUACCUGUGUUCCAGAAAAGAGGCGUGGGUGAACAUGAUGUUCAGGGGGCUUUUUUCUUCUCCUAUUCAGAGAGACUUUUUCCAUUGACUGGAACAGGGCUGUCAUGUGCCAGCCCAUUUCUGACAGCCACCAUCUGAAAACUGCAGUCUGGAACAAUUAUGGCUGUGAAUCACUCCACCGAAGCAGGCUGCUCCUGGAUGUGGGUUCUUGAACCAGGUCCCAAACCUGAUAUUGCUCGAUAUUGCCAGGAUGACACAAGUUAGAUUUUGCUCCAGCGUUUCCAACUGUUGGGAUUUUAUCGCAUUAUCUGAAAUUCUGCUUAAUGCCUCAGCCCCUAGGGCUAUAAGAUUAUGUAAGAAUCUCUGCUUUUAUUACAAAAUAAAGUUCAUUUUCUAGUUU